rnacentral:rRNA from 1 species
AUACGUAGGUGGCAAGCGUUGUCCGGAUUUAUUGGGCGUAAGGCGAGCGCAGGCGGUUUCUUAAGUCUGAUGUGAAAGCCCCCCGGCUUAACCGGGGAGGGUCAUUGGAAACUGGGGAACUUGAGUGCAGAAGAGGAGAGUGGAAUUCCAUGUGUAGCGGUGAAAUGCGUAGAUAUAUGGAGGAACACCAGUGGCGAAGGCGGCUCUCUGGUCUGUAACUGACGCUGAUGCUCGAAAGCGUGGGGAGC